ACUCCUACGGGAGGCAGCAGUCGAGAAUCUUCCGCAAUGCGCGCAAGCGUGACGGAGCGACGCCGCGUGGGCGAUGAAGGCCUUCGGGUUGUAAAGCCCUGUUAGCUACUAUGAACCGCGGGUGGUGAACAACCAUCCCGUCUGACGUAAGUAGCAAAGAAAGCACCGGCUAACUACGUGCCAGCAGCCGCGGUAAUACGUAGGGUGCUAACGUUGUUCGGAAUCACCGGGCAUAAAGAGCGCGUAGGCGGUCUGAUAAGUCAGGUGUGAAAUCCCCCGGCUCAACCGGGGAACUGCACCUGAUACUGUUGGGCUUGAGUGCAGGAGGGGAGAGCGGAAUUCCU
rnacentral:rRNA from 1 species